rnacentral:rRNA from 1 species
UACGUAGGGUGCGAGCGUUAAUCGGAAUUACUGGGCGUAAAGCGUGCGCAGGCGGUUUUGUAAGCCAGAUGUGAAAGCCCCGGGCUUAACCUGGGAAUGGCAUUUGGGACUGCAAGGCUUGAGUGCGGCAGAGGAGACUGGAAUUCCCGGUGUAGCAGUGAAAUGCGCAGAUAUCGGGAGGAACACCUAUGGCGAAGGCAGCUCGCUGGGACGUUACUGACGCUGAGACGCGAAAGCGUGGGGAGCAAACAGG